AAGUCGUAACAAGGUUUCCGUAGGUGAACCUGCGGAAGGAUCAUUACAUUCAGUAUUGUUUGUACUGUCGGGGAGACUGUCAGCCCAGUUGUCGCCUCACAGCGGCUCUGGCAAGUCUCCUGCCUGCACCCUUGUCUUUUGCGUACCAAUGUUUCCUCGGCGGGUCAUUCCGCCGGCAGGACAACACUAUAACCUUUUUAAUUUUCAAUCAGCGUCUGAAUAAAUAUAAUAAUUACAACUUUCAACAACGGAUCUCUUGGUUCUG
rnacentral:misc_RNA from 1 species